AUAGACACUUGUACCUAGUAAGAAACCUACAUAUAAGUCUUUCUAAGUCUCAGAGACGGUUUGGCCUAACAUAGCCACAUUUACAUACUGAGAAGCCUGAAUGGCCUCUUAGGAUGAAGUGAGAGGGAUGAAGCCAUUGUAUUGCAGAACCCACGGCUGAGACACUGCUCCUGACUAACCCCAAAUGCUAGUUUGCUCAGGAAAAGACUUCCUGAAGUCCAGAAAUCCUGUUCCCAGCAGACAUCAGCCCUACUGUGACCAUAUCUAAUGGAAGCUAUGUGUAGACUGCAUGAAAGUCUGGUUGCUGUUUCAAAAAUUAAUACACAGCCGAAGCAAACUGUUUAAGCCUGAAA